AACGUAGGUGGCGAGCGUUAUCCGGAUUUACUGGGCGUAAAGCGUGUGCAGGUGGCCUGUUAAGUGGUGUAUGAAAUUGCCCGGCUCAACCGGGCGGGGUUAUGCCAGACUGGCAGGCUAGAGGGUGGGAGAGGGAUGUGGAAUUCCGGGUGUAGUGGUGAAAUGCGUAGAUAUCGGGAGGAACACCAGUGGCGAAGGCGACUACCUGGCCUGUUCUUGACGCUGAGGCGCGAAAGCUAGGGGAGCAAACGGG
rnacentral:rRNA from 1 species